UAGGGAAUCUUCCACAAUGGACGAAAGUCUGAUGGAGCAACGCCGCGUGAGUGAAGAAGGUUUUCGGAUCGUAAAGCUCUGUUGUUGGUGAAGAAGGAUAGAGGCAGUAACUGGUCUUUAUUUGACGGUAAUCAACCAGAAAGUCACGGCUAACUACGUGCCAGCAGCCGCGGUAAUACGUAGGUGGCAAGCGUUGUCCGGAUUUAUUGGGCGUAAAGCGAGCGCAGGCGGAAUGAUAAGUCUGAUGUGAAAGCCCACGGCUCAACCGUGGAACUGCAUCGGAAACUGUCAUUCUUGAGUGCAGAAGAGGAGAGUGGAACUCCAUGUGUAGCGGUGGAAUGCGUAGAUAUAUGGAAGAACACCAGUGGCGAAGGCGGCUCUCUGGUCUGCAACUGACGCUGAGGCUCGAAAGCAUGGGUAGCGAACAGGAUUAGAUACCCUGGUAGUCCAUGCCGUAAACGAUGAGCGCUAGGUGUU
rnacentral:rRNA from 1 species